UGUUUAUUUCCUAGUUGCCUUGAGAAACUUCUUGAAUGAUGGGUGGUGACGGACUGGGGAGGUCCGCAAUCCUCAAUACUGUACCGACGUUUCAAGAUGGCAUCUCAUUAUGUAUUAUUAUUAAUUAACCUUUAUUUUUGCACAGCAUACCGAUUUGUGCUUUGAUACUGUCACUCUAAAGAACAGCUUAUUGUAUACAGUUAAAGAAAAAUGUCAUUUUUGCAUUCCUGUGCAUUUUGUCCCAAAGGUUUUGUUUACUUGUUUGUUUUUUCUUGACUUGUGCCAUAUGUUUAGAGAAUGAGAGAGAGAUCACCGACGUCCUUACUUUGUUUUUUAAAAGGCCUUGAUAUUCGAGGAGUGUUUGUGGGUCUCAAUCUGUACCUGUUGGUCUUUGAAGGCAACAUAGUGCAGUAAUGCUUGCAUCGAUCUGUCCUCUGCCUCUUCAGCCGCAUCUAGCCUCAUCCCUCAAACGCUUCAGUGUCUUUUUGCUCACUUUUUCCAGAUCAGUUCUCAGCCUCUGGAUGCCCCCAGAUGCUCAGUGCUGUGCAAUUUCAAUAUUCAGCCAGGAGAGGGGGCUGUCGUUCUAAUUUUCUUCCCCCACCUCAGUAAAAGAAAGGCAUUCAUGAUUUUUUUUAAUGGUUUUUAAAGCUCAUAUCAAUUUGAAAGUAUGCACAUUGCUGUUAAUAAAAGGUUAAGCAACCGCUUCCUGUCUCUUUUUUUUUUACAUGGAUAUCAAAAAGGGAAAUUAAAACCAAUGGAAUUAUUACACAAUGAUGUAUUUCAAUAGUUUAUUUUUAUUUGUUUUAUUGAUUAUUACAAACUAGAGCUGGAUGAUAAAUCAGUAAUAUAUGUAUUAUGACACACACUCGAUCAAUAUUAGAUCUCACUUGAAUGCACAGCAUUCUGGGAGAUGUAGGCAGAGGAAAGACUAGCAGUUGGCUAAGCUAGGUCGUGAGAGGAAGUGAGUGAGCAUCAACUCGCUCGCUCUUUGCUAGUCAACUGGUUGUUGCCUAGUAACAGCCAGUUGCUAGUAACAACCAAUUGACUAUCUUGCAUAGCUGCAGUUUCAGGUUUCGCCGUAGUUCCUCAUAACUGCUUAAGCGGCGUGGCGUGAAAACUGGAUAAAACGGGAAAGGUUAAGUCAUUAGUAUAACAGUAUUUCAAAUAUUUACCAAAACGAAAAAAUGGUUAACAGGCAACCGUGAAUAUAGACUGAAACGUUUAUAUCGUAAGUUCUUCAGCGAUGUCGUCCAGCCCUAGCUUAAAAUUUAUGAAAACUAAUAACAUUUGAAUAUUUUAUUAGACCAACAGGCAUUUUAUUACCUAUUGUCAAAGAUAUUACGACUUGCUUUUGGACACGCAUGACUUUUAAAGAGUGAAGCAUUUUAAAAAGGCACUGAAAUAAGCUUUCUCUUGGCCACUUUCCAUUGGGGCAGAUCCAGCACUCACUGGAGGGACCGUGUAACCCUUCUGACCUGGAACUCUUUGGGAUCUCCCUGGAUGAGCUGGAAAGCGUAACCCUGGAGACGGAUAUCUGGGUUUCCCUCGUGCAGCUCGAUCUCAGACACAAAGCUUCAGUUCAGCAGAGCUUGUGCCAGAACCACUGCAGGAUUUAGAGCCAAACUGAAGAUUCAGUAUCAAAAGAAGAACAAUCCUUCUUCCUGAAAAGGCGGAGCCUCUAAAU